rnacentral:rRNA from 1 species
GACGAACGCUGGCGGCGUGCUUAACACAUGCAAGUCGAACGGAAAGGCCCUGCUUUUGUGGGGUGCUCGAGUGGCGAACGGGUGAGUAACACGUGAGUAACCUGCCCUUGACUUUGGGAUAACUUCAGGAAACUGGGGCUAAUACCGGAUAGGAGCUCCUGCUGCAUGGUGGGGGUUGGAAAGUUUCGGCGGUUGGGGAUGGACUCGCGGCUUAUCAGCUUGUUGGUGGGGUAGUGGCUUACCAAGGCUUUGACGGGUAGCCGGCCUGAGAGGGUGACCGGCCACAUUGGGACUGAGAUACGGCCCAGACUCCUACGGGAGGCAGAAGUGGGGAAUAUUGCACAAUGGGCGGAAGCCUGAUGCAGCAACGCCGCGUGCGGGAUGACGGCCUUAGGGUUGUAAACCGCUUUCGCCUGUGACGAAGCGUGAGUGACGGUAAUGGGUAAAGAAGCACCGGCUAACUACGUG